UAAGGGCACUGACAAACUCUCGAAGUCCCACACUCGAAUUUUCUAUCCAAACAGACGUGCCACCAUUGAAGAUAACUGUUGCCUCCUAAAGGGCUCCAGCCUGGUGUGUUUACGAAUGUACAAACAGUAUACGCAACAUCGGCAGACAUCAAAAAGUGAGUCCCACAGAGACGAAGGCGGCUCAAACAGCAGGACGAUCAGUCUCCAGACAUGGUGAACCACAUUUCUCUCUCCCUGACCAAAUUCUCCCAUCAUUCCUCUCUCCGUCUUUUCAUUUUGACUGCCACCCGACAGUGUGGUAGCACAUGGGGCAGAUUGUUGUACUGCAUGUCAGUGUGUCUUCUCACGCAAGGCCGGUAUGAGU